rnacentral:pre_miRNA from 14 species
CUGCUAAUCCUGCCUGUGAUAGGAGAUUUCAUCUCUGACAGACUUCUACAUGUUAGCAUUAACAG